rnacentral:rRNA from 1 species
AAGAUGAGAAUUCUAAGGUGAGCGAGCGAACUCUCGUUAAGGAACUCGGCAAAAUGACCCCGUAACUUCGGGAGAAGGGGUGCUCUUUGAGGUUCACGCUUCGAAGAGCCGCAGUGAAUAGGCCCAAGCGACUGUUUAUCAAAAACACAGGUCUCUGCUAAACCGUAAGGUGACGUAUAGGGGCUGACGCCUGCCCGGUGCUGGAAGGUUAAGAGGAGUGGUUAGCGCAAGCGAAGCUACGAAUCGAAGCCCCAGUAAACGGCGGCCGUAACUAUAACGGUCCUAAGGUAGCGAAAUUCCUUGUCGGGUAAGUUCCGACCCGCACGAAAGGCGUAACGAUUUGGGCACUGUCUCAACGAGAGACUCGGUGAAAUCAUAGUACCGGUGAAGAUGCCGGUUACCCGCGACAGGACGGAAAGACCCCGUGGAGCUUUACUGUAGCCUGAUAUUGAAAUUCGGUACAGUUUGUACAGGAUAGGUAGGAGCCUUAGAAGCGUGAGCGCUAGCUUACGUGGAGGCAUUGGUGGGAUACUACCCUAAUUGUAUUGGAUUUCUAACCCGCAGCACUUAUCGUGCUGGGAGACAGUGUCAGGCGGGCAGUUUGACUGGGGCGGUCGCCUCCUAAAGAGUAACGGAGGCGCUCAAAGGUUCCCUCAGAAUGGUUGGAAAUCAUUCAUAGAGUGUAAAGGCAUAAGGGAGCUUGACUGCGAGACCUACAAGUCGAGCAGGGUCGAAAGACGGACUUAGUGAUCCGGUGGUUCCGCAUGGAAGGGCCAUCGCUCAACGGAUAAAAGCUACCCCGGGGAUAACAGGCUUAUCUCCCCCAAGAGUUCACAUCGACGGGGAGGUUUGGCACCUCGAUGUCGGCUCAUCGCAUCCUGGGGCUGUAGUCGGUCCCAAGGGUUGGGCUGUUCGCCCAUUAAAGCGGUACGCGAGCUGGGUUCAGAACGUCGUGAGACAGUUCGGUCCCUAUCCGUCGUGGGCGUAGGAAAUUUGAGAGGAGCUGUCCUUAGUACGAGAGGACCGGGAUGGACAUACCUCUGGUGUACCAGUUGUCGUGCCAACGGCAUAGCUGGGUAGCUAUGUAUGGACGGGAUAAGUGCUGAAAGCAUCUAAGCAUGAAGCCCCCCUCGAGAUGAGAUUUCCCAACUUCGGUUAUAAGAUCCCUCAAAGAUGAUGAGGUGAAU